rnacentral:rRNA from 1 species
GAUGAACGCUAGCUACAGGCUUAACACAUGCAAGUCGAGGGGAAACGAUAUUGGAAGCUUGCUUCCGAUGGGCGUCGACCGGCGCACGGGUGAGUAACGCGUAUCCAACCUGCCCAUCACUUGGGGAUAACCUUGCGAAAGUAAGACUAAUACCCAAUGAUAUCUCUAGAAGACAUCUGAAAGAGAUUAAAAGAUUUAUCGGUGAUGGAUGGGGAUGCGUCUGAUUAGCUUGUUGGCGGGGUAACGGCCCACCAAGGCGACGAUCAGUAGGGGUUCUGAGAGGAAGGUCCCCCACAUUGGAACUGAGACACGGUCCAAACUCCUACGGGAGGCAGCAGUGAGGAAUAUUGGUCAAUGGGCGAGAGCCUAAACCAGCCAAGUAGCGUGCAGGAUGACGGCCCUAUGGGUUGUAAACUGCUUUUAAUAAGGGAAUAAAGUGAGUCUCGUGAGACUUUUGCAUGUACCUUAUGAAUAAGGACCGGCUAAUUCCGUGCCAGCA